UGAAUUAUAAUUUGCAUCAAGGUGCACAACUGUGAUGACCAAAAAUCUUGUACCUUGAAUUAUAAUUUGCAUCAAGGUGCACAACUGUAAUAACCAAAACCUUGUACCUUGAAUUAUAAUUUGCAUCAAGGUGCACAACUGUGAUGACCAAAACCUCGUACCUUGAAUUAUAAUUUGCAUCAAGGUGCACAACUGUGAUGACCAAAAAUCUUGUACCUUGAAUUAUAAUUUGCAUCAAGGUGCACAACUGUAAUGACCAAAACCUUGUACCUUGAAUUAUAGUUUGCAUCAAGGUGCACAACUGUGAUGACCAAAAACCUUGUACCUUGAAUUAUAAUUUGCAUUAAGGUGCACAACUGUGAUGACCAAAACCUUGUACCUUGAAUUAUAGUUUGCAUCAAGGUGCACAACUGUGAUGACCAAAAACGUUGUACCUUGAAUUAUAAUUUGCAUCAAGGUCCACAACUGUAAUGACCAAAACCUUGUACCUUGAAUUAUAAUUUGCAUCAAGGUGCACAACUGUAAUGACCAAAACCUUGUACUUUGAAUUAUAAUUUGCAUAAGUAUACAUCUCAUCUAAUAGAAAAAAGAUUAUUCUGUCAGAACUUUGCAAUACAACAGUAGUACUGAUCACAAAGGGCCCUAAUCUUGGCCUGUUACCUGGGUGACUGUGUUUGUGUGAGACACUGUGUACUAGACUGGGAACCUUCUCCCCAACUGUGCCCUGUCCUCCCCUAUCCAUCUACCUUUCCCUUCCAACAGGGACUGCCCACUCAUAAAAGAUCCUUAGACACGACCCAUGAAGGUGCACAGCUGUAAGGACCAAAACCAUGCACCUUGAAUACAAAGGUGCAGGAUUGUACGUAGCUCAUCUCAUUGGAAUAAGAUCCUGUUUUCAGCCCCUUUUGCAGUACAUACAUCAGGAGUACUGAUCACUAAGGCCCUAAUCUUGGCCUAUCAUAUACGUGGCUGUGUUUGUCUGCGUUCCUGUGUACUAGUCAAAGAGCUUUCCUGUCUACCCCGUAACUCUGUCCUGCUGUCCCAUCCAUAUUCCUUUCCCUUCCAAUGAGGACUGCCCACACAUAAGCCCCUUACCCUUGAUGCAUCAAGAUAUGUACAGUUGCAAUGAUCAUAACUCUACCUUGAAUAUUAAUGUGCAUAACUGCACAUGGCUCAUCUUAGUGGAAUAAGAACCUACUGUCAGAACUUUCUCAGUACAGUAGGGGUACUGAUCAUGAAGGCCUCUAAUCCUGGCCUGCCAUAUGGACAGUUCUAUUUUUCUGAGUUCUAUAUACUAGACAAGGACCCUUUAUACCUCCCAACCUGCCUUGUCCUUACCUAUCCAUCUUCAUUUCCUUUCUAAAAGAAACUGCCCACUCAUAAGACCCUUACACAUGACCCGUCAAGGUGUACAAGUGUAAUGACCAAAACCAUGCACCUUGAAUACUAGUGUGCGUGAUUGCACAUGGCUCAUCACAUUGGGGUAAAAUCCUACUGUCAGAAAUGCUGCAGUACAGCAGGGUUGCUGAUCAUAAAGGCCUGUAAUCCUGGCCUUUUAUAUGAGUGAUUAUGUUUGCGAGUUUCUGUGUACUAGACAAGGAACCUUUGUAACUGCAAACCUACCCUGCCUUCUUUUAUCUAACUUCUUUUCCCUUCCAACAGGGGCUGUCAACUAAUAAGAUCCUUACAUAUGACCCAUCAAGGUGCACAAUUGUAAUGACCAAAACUGUGCACAUUGACUAUAAAGCUACAUGACUGCACAUGGCUCAUCUCAUUGGAAUAAGAUCCUAUUCCCAGCCCCUUUUGCAGUACAGCAGGGGUACUUAUCACUAAGGCCCUAAUUUUGGUCUAUUAUAUGAUUGACUGGUUUUCUGAAUUCCUGUACUCAAGGAACCUAACCACUCCCUGACUCAACCCUGCUUCCCCUAUUCAUCUUUCUUUUCCUUCCAAAGACCUUUACACUUGAAUCUAUUAAGAUGCGCAAUUGUAGUAAGCAAAAACAUGCACCUUGAAUACUAAUGUCCAUAACUGCAUGUGGCUCAUCUCUUGGAAUAAGAUCCUACUCAGCCCCUUUUGCGGUACAGCAGGGGUACUGGUCAUGAAGGCCUCUAAUCCUGGCCUAUUGUAUGCCUGAUUAUGUUUUUCUGAGUAUUAGACAAAGACCCUUCAUACUUUGUAACCCUGCCUUGUCCUCCCUUAUCCAUCUUCCUUUCCUUUCUGACAGGAACUGCCCACUCAUAAGACCUUUACAUGUGGUCUGUCAAGGUACACAAGUGUAAUGACCAAAACCAUGCACCUUGAAUACUAACGUGCAUGACUGCAUAUGGUUCAACUCAUUGGAGUAAAAGCCUACUGUAAGAACAUUUGCAGUAUUGCAGAGUUGCUGAUCAUGAGGGCCUCUUAUCCUGGCCUUUUAUAUUACAUGAUUGUGUUUGCCCGAGUUCCUGUGUACUAGACAAGGAAUCUUGCAACUCCUCAACCUUGCUCUGCCCUCCCCUAUCCAUCUUCCUUUCCCUUCCAACAGGGACUGCCCACUUAUAAGACCCUUGCCAUGACCCAUCAAGGUGCACAAUUGUAAUGAACAAACCACGCACCUUGAAUACAAUGGUGCAUGACUGCACAUGGCUCAUUUCUUUGGAAUAAGAUCCUAUUCUCAGCUCCUUUUGCAGUACAGCAGGGGUACUGAUAAUGAAGGCUCCUAAUCUUGGCCAGUUAUAUGGGUGACUGUUUUUAUGAGUUCUUGUGUACUAGACCAGGAACCCUCCAUUCCCUAACCCUGCCUUACACUUCCUUACUUAUCUUCAGGGGCUACCCACACAUAAGCCACACUGGACCCAUCAAGGUGCAUAAUUAUAAUGACAAAAGCACGCAUCUUGAAUACUGAUGUGCAUAACUGCACAUGGCUCAUCACUGGAAUAAGAUCCUACUCUCAGUCCCUUUUGCAGGACAGCAGCAAUACUGUUCACCAAACCUCUAAUCGUGGCCAGUUAUAUGGGUAAUUAUGUUUGUGUGAGUUCCUGUGUAUUAAUCAAGGAACCUUCCCCCUCCCCAACCCUGCCCUGCCCUCCCCUCCCCUGUCUAUCUUCCUUUCCCUUCCAACAGGGACUGCCCACUCAUAAUACCCUUGUAUCUGAUCCAUCAAGGUGCACAACUGUAGUGACCAAACUAUGCACCUUGAAUACAAAGGUAUGUGACUGCACAUGGCUCAUCUCAUUGGAAUAAGGUCCUGUUCUCAGACCCUUUUGCAGUACAGCAGGGUUGCUGAUAAAAAAGGGCCUUAUCUUAUCCUAUUAUACAGGUGGCUAUGUUUAUUUGAGUUCCUGUAUAUUAGCCACGGAACUUCCUAUUCCCUAACUGCCCUGCCCUCCCCUUCCCAUCUUUUCCCUUCAGAUUGCCCACAUAUAAUCCACUUAUACUUGACCCAUCAAGGUGCAUAACUGUAAUAACUAAAACCAUGCAUCUUGAAUACUAAUGUGCAUAACUGCAUGAGGCACUUCAUUGGUAUAAGAUCCUAUUCUCAGCCCCCUUUGCAGUACAGCAGGGGUACUUACUACUAAGGCCCUAAUAUUGGCCUGUUAUAUGGGUGGUUGUGUUUGUGUGAGUUCCUGUGUACUAAACAGGGAACCUUUGCAACCCCUAACCUGGCCCUGCCUUCCCCUGUCCAUCUUCCUGUUCUUCCAUCAGGGACUGCCCAUUCGUAAGACCCUAAUACUUGCCCUGUCAAAGUGCACAACUGUAAUGACCAAAACUAUGCAAGUUGAAUAAUAAUGUACAUAACUGUACAUAGCUCAUCUAAUUGGAAUUAGAUUCAACUGCCAGAACUCUUGCUUUAUAGCAGGGGUACUGAUCACCAGGGCCCUAAUCUUAGCUUAUUAUAUGGGUGAUUUUGUCUGAGUUCCUAAGUACUAGACAAGGAACCGCCCCCCACCAAACCCUGUCCUUCUGUAUCUCAUCUAACUUCCCUUCCCUUGUAGCAGAGACUGCCCACUCACAAGACCCUUUACACUUGACCUGUCAAGGUGCACAGGUGUAAUGACCAAAACCCUGCAUCUUGACUACUACUGUGCAUAACUGCACAUGACUCAUUUCAUUGUAAUAAGACCUUACUGUCAUAACUUUUGCAGUACAGCAUGGGUACUGAUUACCAAGGCCCUAAUCUUGGCCUAUUAUGUGGGUGAUUUUGUCUGAGUUCCUCUGUACUAAACAAGGAACCUUUCCUCCAACUUGCUUUCCCUUCCAACGGGAACUGCUUGCUCAGUCAAGGCGCACAAGUGUAAUGACCAAAAUCACGCACCUUGAAUACUAAUGUGCAGAAGUGCAGGUAGCUUAUCUCAUUGGAAUAACAUCCUACUCUCAGCCUCCUUUUCAGUACAGUAGGCAUACUGAUCACUAAGGCCCUAAUCUUGGCCUGUUAACAUGGAUAAUUAUUUUGUCUAAAUUACUUUUUACUGGACAAGGAAUCCCUCCUUUCCUACCUAUCUUUUUUUAACCUUCCAGCUGGGACUAUGUACUCCAAAGACUCUUACAGUUGACCAGUCAGGGUGCAUGCACUAUUGUAAUGAUCAAAACCAUGCACCUGGAAUACUAAUGCGCAUAAAUGCACAUGGCUCAUCUCAUUUGAAUAAGAUCCUACUACCACCUCCUUUUGAGCCAUAUAGGAGGGUUGAUGAUUAUAAGGCCCUAAUCUUGGCCUGUUAUAUGAGUGAUUGGGUCAGUCUCAGUUUCUGUGUAGUAGACCUCCCCCGUAACAGUACGCUACCCUCCCCUUUUGCACUUCCAUUUCUUUCCAACAAGGACUCCCUACUUUAUUUAUAAGACUCUUGACCAGUCAAGGUGUACAAUUGUAAUGACCAAAUCAUUCACCUUGAAUACUAAUGUGCAUGACUACAUGUGGCUCAUCUCAUUUGAAUGAGAUUCUAUUCUCGGUCCCCUUUUGCCCUGUAGCAGGUGUGCUGAUUACCAUGACCCUUAUUCUUGUUCUGUUAUGUCAGUAAUUAUAUUUUUCCUAGUUCCUGUGCAUUAGACAGGAACCUUCCCAAUCCUGCCCUGCCUUCCCUCAACCAACUUCCUUUCCCUUUAUCAGGGACUGCCUAUUCCAUAAGACCCUUAUACUUCACUAGUCAAUGUGCACAAUUAUAAUGUCCAAAGUCAUUGCAGGAAUUCUAAUGUGCAUAACUGUACAUAGUUUGUCUCAUUUUAAUAAGAUCUCACACUCAGCUCCUUUGGAAUAUAGCAGGGGUACCAACUGAUUACUAAGGCUACUAAUCUUGGCCUAUUUAUUAUAUGGGUGAUUAUGUUUGAAUUCCUGUGUAUCACACAAGGAAUCUUCCUCCCCAACCCUGCUUUGCUCUCCCCACUUCCAACUUCUUUCUCUUCCCUAAAGACGCCUACAAUUGAACAGUCAAGAUGUAUAAUUGUAAUGACCACAACCAUGCACCUUAAAUACUUGAAUACUUACACUUCAUCCCAAUUGAAUAAGAUCCUACUCUCAGCCUCUUUUGAUAUAGCAAGGGUGCUGAUUACUAAAGGCCUCUAAUCUUGGCCUGCUAUAUAUAUGCAUGAUUAUAUUUGUCUCAGUUCCUGUGUACUAAACAAUGAAUCUUUGCCUCCCCUUUCCAACUUCUUUUCCCUUCCAACAGGAACUGCCUACUCCAUAAGACCCUUACAUUUGAAUAGUAAAGGUGCACAAUUGUAAUGAUCACAACUGUAUACCUAGAAUACUAAUGUACUUAACUGUACAUGCUUUACCCCAUUUGAAUAUGAUCCUUCUCUCAAUCCCUUUUUCCAUACAGCAGGCACACUGAUCACUAAUGCUCCUAUUUUCAGACUGUUAUGUGGGUGAUUAUGUUUGAGUUUCUGUGUGUAGUAGACAAAGACCUAACCCUCUCCUCCAAGUUCUUCCCUAUUUUCCUCCAUCCGUUUUCCUUUCCUUUCUAGCCCACUCUAUAAGACUCUUACACUUGAACAGUCAAGGUGCACAAUUAUAAUGAGUGACUAGAAUCAUAAACCUUAAAUACUUAUGUGUGUAACUGCACAGGGUUCAUCCCAUUUGAAUAAGAUCCUACUCUCAGCCCCCUCUGCAGUAAAACAGGGAUACUGAUUAUUAAGACUCCUAUUGGCCUGUUAUAUGGGCAUUUAUGUUUGUUUGAAUUCCUGUAUAUUACUAUACGUGGAACUCCUCAGCCCUGCCCUGCCCUCUCCCACCCUUCUUUUGCCUUCCAGGAGGGACGGCCUACCUCAUUAAGACUCUUAUACUUGAACAGUAAAAGUGGCCAAUUAUAAUGGUUCCAGUAAUGAACCUUCAAUACUAAUGUGCAUAACAGCACCGAUUCAUCUCAUUUGAGUAAAAUGCUACCAUUAGGCAGGCCCUUUUGCAAUACAGCAGGGAUGUUGAUCACUAAUGCCCAUAUUCCUUGCUUAUUAUUUAGGCCUUUAUACUUGUCCAGGUUGUUGUGUACUAUAUGAGGAAACCUCUGCCCUGAUCUCCCUCCUCCAACUUCUUUUAGCAGAGAUAAGUACUCUUUAGGAACAUUAUAUGUAAACUGUUACAGUGCACAAUUGUAAUGACCACAGCCAUACACCUUGGACAGUAAUGUGCAUAUUUGCACAUGGCUAGUCUCACUUGAACAAAAUUCUACUUUCUAGACCCUUUUGUAGUAAAGCAGGGGUUCGUUAAUAGAAUUGUCCAUUCUUAUUUGGCCCAUUAUCUUGAUGAUUAUAUUUGUCUAGGUUUCUGUGUUCUAGACCACUUGCUUUGCCUUCUAGCAAGAUGAACACUCCAUAAUACCUUUACAUUUAAGUAGUCCAGAUGCACAGAUAUAAUGGUUACAACCAUGCAUCUAGGACAUUAAUGUUCAUAACUGCAUGUGUCUCAUUCCUUUUAAGUAAGAUCUUACUCUCAACCCCCUUAGCAAUACAGCAGGAGUGCUGAACCAUAAAGCCUCUUUUUUUGGCUUCUUCAUUACUAGAUCAGACCACCCUAUCCAUCUCGCCCUUUACUUUUUAAAUGAUAGUGCCCUCUACUUUUAAGAUCCUUAUACUUGUACAAAGUAUGUAGUUUUAUUUGUCCAUAGCUAUGUCUCUGGAACAGUAAUACAUAUUAUCAGGACAUAGUAUAUCCUAUUUAACUAGUCCUUUCCUCUUGCCCUCCAUUUACUGCAUACCAAAGUUUCUGACUUCUUAGUUCCUUGUUUUCAUGACCUUAUUACUUGCAGAAUUUCAUUAGUCUGAGUUUUUGUGCACUAGACAAGAAUACCUCAUCUCUGACUUCUACUUUUUAAGAAGUGGUGCCCACUGCUUAAGGCUUUUACAUUUGAACAGGUAAUGUACAUUAUUACAGUUGCCCACAACUGUUACUUCUAGGACCAUUGUACCUCUGCAUCACUGCAGGGGACAUAUAUAAUUGAAAUUUUCUUUAGUCUUUGCUGGGGUACUAAAGUCAUACCCCCUCAUAUUUCAUUUGGCCUAUAGCAAAGUGCUGAUAACCAAACCAAAGUCCUCUGCUUUUGGACUGUAAAUAUAUACAAUUGCAUUUGCUCCUGUUUUGUGCACUAGAAAAAGAUCCUACCUAUUUUCUUAAUAUUUUCAGUAGAAAAUGCCCACCACUCAAGACUCUUUCAGUUGGAAACUUCAUGUACAGAAAUAAAAUUUGCUAAGCAUGUCUUAUAUCAGAGCCCUUGUACCCUCUUUGCUUUAAAGCACAGAAAUGCUUUCAUUUAGUAUCCUUUGUUUUGGGCUUCAUUGUGCAUUAAUAUAAUUGUCCCUCCUUUUUUUGGACUAGAAUUUCAUCUCCUUAUAUCCCCGUUGCAUCGGGUGUGUUGGUGAUGAAAGAGCCUUCUAUAUGAAUGGUGAUAUGCAUAAUUAUCUUUGUGGACCUAUGGAGUAAAAAAAGGACAUUGUUACUAUCACUACCUCUUGAUCACUGCUGAGCUAUUUAUAACCUCUGUUCUUGAACAAUUAGUGUACCACAAUAACCAAUGACAAUUAUCUUGAGUGCUGAUCAUUAGAUAGGACCCUGCACCCUCUGCAUACAUCAGAAGUGCUGACCAACUAAGAUUCCUUGGAUUGUUAGUGUGAAUAUUUGCAAUCUAGGAUACUAUAUCCUCAUACCCCCUUUGCUUUACUACUGACCAUCCAAAACAUCUCUUGGGACUGUUAAUGAGCACAAUGGCAAUUAUUAAUGUUACUUUUUUUCUCCUAAAAUUAUCUUGGGACUGUUAAUAGGUACAGUGCAAUCAUAAAUGGUUAUUUUUCUUUGGGGAUCCUAUUGAACAGUUACUCCUCCCCCAGUUUCACAUGGCAUUAAUAAAGUACAAAUAUUGCAGCAUGCCAUGUACUUGUGCAUAAAACAAUGACCCGUACUUCAUACCUUUUUCAUUGGUCCAGUAUAUAAAAUCCCAAGUAGCCAAGGCCUUAACAUUUAUACAAGAUUUUCCCUCUCCUCUGCCCUUUGUCUGCCUUGUGUCCCUUCUUAGGGACUAUUAAUGUCCAUAAUCUGGCCAUUAGAUAUGAUUGUACUCCCUGUCCCCCUGCCCUGCCCCUUUCACCUCUUUGCUGGGUAAUGACUGGGCAGAGACCUUUCUCUUGGACUUAUUAAUUUAACAGUCUCACGUGUCAUUGGUUUACCCACUUUAUCUGGCUGUAAUGUCUCAGUUGUACUUUCCUUGGUCUUGCCCAUUUGACAGGGAGUUCUCCACUUCCUUUGCACUGCUUCUGAGUAGUGGCCAGUUACCCAAAGCCCCUUGUGUGUUAUUAAUGAACACAGUACACAUUGUCCUAUUUUGCAUCCCAUCAGUCCCUAUCAGUUGGUUGUGUUGGUGCAGUGUUAAUUUUCAAAAGCAAGGCUGAACUGGGUGUGUGAGCCUUCACUCCUUUUCUUCCAUUUGUUAAUUAUCUCAGUUCCAAUUACUGGCACAUUUCCAGGACAAGAACCCUCCUCUGUUGCUGUUAUUGUGCAAAAUGUUCAAAGCAAGUGAGGCUGAAGGAGCUGGAUUGCUACCCUUUAGUUGUGGUUUUCAGUUAAUGGUAUCAAUUGAAAACUGACUCCGCAGGAAGGAAAAUUAGCACUUUAUGUGUUUUUUUCCCUUUUAGAGUAUAUUACCUAGUUAAGAAUCUAGCCUCUAGUCCUUUAUGUGUUGCUGUUGUAUAGUGCCAGUGGCCAGGCCACAACCAGAAAAAUUGGUCUUGUUUUAUUUUUAAAGAAAGACAUUUGGAAUGAAAGGUAGAAUUGAUCACCUGGCCAUUAGCCUUUUUGAAGGCCCCUCAAGAUAUCCAUUUAUAUUACAUUCCUGGUGACUAGUGUCUCAUUGUACUUAGUGUGGUAGAUAUGUGGAUAGAUCAUUGUGAGGCUUAUUACCUUAGUACUGUGUUACCAAAGGAAUUUUAGAGUGGAAACUUAAGUGGAAUCUUUGUUUGAGCUGUACUAUAAUGUAAGAAACAAUCUUUCUUUGGGCUUUACCGUGAUUCGCUUUUAGGAAAAUUACCUAAACCUUCUAAUCCUUAAGUUUCUUCAUCUUGAGCAUUAGCCCUUACUUCAAGAAGAUUGUUGUACCUGGCAAGCGCAAGCACCCGAAUUUGAUCCCUGAUCCCAUCCCCCCCAAAAAAUAGAAGAUUGCUAUAAAUGGAUUAAAUGAGAGAACAUAUGGUUAGAGGCUUUUGAAAAUUAUAGACCACCUCAUUUGAUUAUAUAAAAUGCAUUUUAUUAAAUAAAAUGCACCAUUUAAUUCUGCUACUAAUUUGAAGUAGUUUGAAGAACCAACCUAAAGUGAACAUUUACCUUAAAAUGAUGGGACUUGUUUCCCCAUUUUAUAGCAUAAGAAAAAUAAGCCAAGAUCUAAUCGUUUUUCUAAGCAUAAACUUUAACAAAUGUAAUAGUAAAAAAAAAAAAACCCCAAAACAACUCACCUUCUAAUUGUAUAAGGCAAGGAUGGUGAGCUUAUGACACACUUACUUGUCACAGCCUCUUUUGUCAAUGAAAGCUCUCAAAGAUUUUCUGUCACUGGUGUUUGGUGACAACUCAGUAUUUAGUAUGAAGGAGUGGAAUCAUAUAACUAGUUGUCACAAAAGCCAUACUUUGUAGUCACUGAGAAAGGAUACUAUUCCUUAAGAAGGUUAUCUGAAGAUCUGCCCAGCUCAGGGACGGCUAUGAGAAGAGUUGCUGGCGUUUUAGAAUACUGAUGACUUUGGAGCUGGUUUCUGUACCCUGACUCGAGGAAAGAUGACUCGAUUUUAGGACAUUCUGAGCAUGUGAAAAUUGGACUGCAUACAGCUGUGGGAAGCUACAAAUUCAGCAGAGUUUUCCUUUUGAGAUUUUGGACAAGAUCCAGCUAAUCUUGUAGGCCACCGGGAGAAGCAGAUCUUCCUUGGGAGAAUGGGCUUGUUGCUCUACAGUGCUAGUGACCUAUUCCCUUUGAUGAUCCCUAGGUGGAGAUGGGGCAUGAGGAUCCUCCAGGGGAAAAGCUCACUAUCACUGGGCAACAAUCCUAGGUCAGGAGGUUUUACUAACUUUCCCGGACUCAGAUAGGAAGAUGAAGACUCAAAGAGAACCAGCAUAUGUCAAGAUAGGAGAACAUGGACAACUGCCACAUCAACAAUAUUGAUUUCAUGAGCAAAUCAUUGUUUCAGCUGGUCCUCAAAGUUUUCCAUGAAGCCUCAAAGUUUGCCAGUCAUUUAUAUACUUAAGAUGCCUUGUGAUGUCCUUGGGAUAUAACCCACAAUAAGCUAUUUGAGAAGAUAAAUGAGAAUUGUGUCUAUGUUAUGUUUGCUGAUUGAUGGAAGCUUCAUUACUACAAAUGGAAACCCGAAAAAAAAAAAAUGGCACAAAGUUACCAUCAGCUCCUGUUUGUUCCCUUCAUAUCUGUUAAAUCAUUCUUUCCAAAAGCAAUACAACUGCUGGGUCUUCAGCAGAACCAAGAAAUGUAAACACACCAAAGAAAGCCACCUCUCCUGUGUCUGAAGAGGAACAUGCCUAGUACUAUAAUAUUUUAGAAUAGCAGAAUGAAUCAUAAAUGUGUAUUUCUCUGCUUGUCUAUUUCUUCCUUGAAUUUGUUUGUUCUCUACCUUGAGUGUGUCUUUUUAUUCAUUUUCAUGUUUGUCUUGCUAAUUUCCUCUGUACCUUUUUCUCAUUUUCUCUUUUUGUUCCUAAGUGUGUUCUGUACCUUGUCUUAGAUGUAUAUCUCUCUUUUUCUUCUCAUUUUGUUUGUUUCUCUCUGCUCUCCUGGUUCAGGCUAUUUUUUCACUUAUUCCUUUUGUCUCCUCUUUGGUCACAUGUUGUGUGUUUUUCUUGCAUUUUUCUUACUGUUCCUACCUUACUUCUUUUUCUCUUUGUGAAUUGUGAUUGUCACUCUUUCCACUUCUCUUGGUUUGACAUUUCAGCUAUUUCUGAUUCUGGCCUUCUUUCUGCUAUGUCUAUUCCUUGCUUAACAUUUUUCUUUUCUACAUUUGCUUUCUGCCUUUCUUUUUCCUCCUUUAUAUACCUCAGUGUCUCUGCUGUUUGUGAUUUUCUAUUUCAGUAUUGGUGUCUGAUACUUUUCUGCUUUUUUCUUUUCUCUUUUAUACUCACCUUUGAGUAUUUCAACCUAUUCAUGAGUCUAUGUCUGCUCUUUGCUUUCAUGUAAUUCUCGCUUGGAUAUUUGUUUGUUCUUGUGUUUGCACUGUGUGUCAGAGGGGCUUCCUAACCCCUUUCCAAUAGAUGCAGAAUGUCGGCUAUCAAAAGAAGCAUUGCAGAGCUGUUCCAUAUGCCUGGCUUUCCUGUGAGGAUGAUCUUACAUUAAAAUACAUCCCUUGGAUCAGGACUGAAGUAAAAUGCAAGGCCUAAGAGGAGCAGAAAGUAGAAGGCCCAAAAUGGAAGACAGAUGGUUUCCCGACUUGAUUGAAAAGCCCAUGUCCCAAGAUAGGUGGAUGUCUCAGUCGUGCGACCAUCAGAAACCUCAAAAGCCAAGAGAUACAGAAGGUGGCCUCAGUUGGAUGAAAGAUUUAAACCUUGAAUUAGAAAGCCAGAGACCCAAGAUUAAGGGCUCUUUCUACAGGACACAUGGAACACUUAAGAAUUGGGACCUAACACAAGACCUAAUUACUGACUUAAGCCCAUUGUCAUAGACCUAUAAACCAAGGAUAGAAAACUCCAGACCAAAAUAAGACCCAGAAAUUAAGCUUUUCUACAUGGACAGAAAGUUUAAGAAAACCAGAUCUCAAAGCUAAAGGCUGGAAACUGGAGGACUGUGACUCUGAACUCAGAAGUAGAGAAGUACCAAGAUGAGAAAUGUAAAUCUGAGAACUUUUUGGUUGUUACACCUCUUACUCUUGGACAUAUUUAGUUCUCUCCUUCUAGUUCUCUUAUUUCAUUUAAACUUACUUCUUUUCAUAUGUGUAUUUUGAUGCUGCCAUUUACCUUAAAGGAAUGUAUGUUUAGAUUGACAAUAUUAUGGAUGGACCAAUCUUGAGCCUAUUUUAAAUCACAGUUUUUAGCCAUUCAUUAAAGUUUUAAAGUUUUAAUAGACUUUCAUUUCUCUCAACUUGAGAGACACCAAAAUCCAGUUGCUAUAUAUUCAAGCUUUUACUUCACUCAAAAGCAAGCAUCUAUUUAGAUAUUUUUCAGUGUUCUCCACCCCAGAAGCCCUACCUGAUGAAAGAGCAAAACAUUGAGUUCUUUAAGAACAAAAGUACCAGGCUAUGUAGAGAUAAUGUGAAGAAAUACUCAAGGAUAAUGAAAA